GUUCGUUGACAAGACCCGCGGCCGAUGUUCCUGAAGACUUCCGGUCACCGAUCUACGUUGGGAGGUCGAUCAAAAGAGCGACGGUGACAGCUUGAACGGGAACCGGAAGCAAGAAGCACGAGGUAUCAUCGGAACUCCUCUGGCUGUCCGUGACCGGAAGCACGAAAAUAUUCAAACCGAAAAGUACAUCGAGAAGCUCUUUGUCCAGCUCCAGGAGAUUUAACCAGGCAGACUUAUACAGCUUUAACCUUCAUAGCCCCAAUCCGUGACUCAGAUGCAGUCCGUAAGUAGGAUACUGUAGGGCAAGAUUACCCAAGAUUUGGUGGGGAAAUGCUGGAUCUCAUUACGGCGUCCAAACUGCUGCAGGACAGAACACCAAGGAUGAAAGGAUCAUCGAUGACAAAAGGAAUUUUAGAGCCAAAUUGCACCUUGGUUGACCGAGUUGCUGGACCAAGACAUUGGCUAGAUGAUUGGCAACCUCUGAGCCGGUGAUUACAGUUUCCCAGGUUAGGCUCCAAGUGAGGACAAGACAGAGCUCGGUGACGAUGGUAUCGCCGAAUUACCGUGACAUCCGCCAAGACCGGUAGAGCCGGAUAGCUAUUGCGACGAGCUGAGGAAAGAUAAUUCGGUCAACUGGACUAGGAGCAGGCCUAGGUGUUGCCGGCCGAAUCCAUAAUGAGACACGCCAGAUCGGGAGGAGUCGGUCCAGCUGCAUAACUGGGUCAUUGGUUUUCACCAACGUCGAUAGCGAGGCCAUAAAGCAUAACAGCAAGUUGGUGGCUGAAGGUGUCAAGGCGGUGCCGUGUGUCUGCUGCCGACGAGCGUUUGCAAGAAACAGCAGGUUGAACGGCCUUCCGCCGGAAACACAUCGUAAAAGGUGUCGUCGUGAUUGUCGUUUCAACCAGUUUGGAACCUGGUUCCGGCUAUUUGUGCUAAAGUUGAAGAGGUUGGAAGCUAGCCAAACCGUGGAACUAACAAGAUUGUGCUGACAACGGGAUACCGAGGUCUACGUUACGCCGAUGGACGUACCGUGAAGUCAUGGUUAUAAUCGAUCGAACGAUGUGACAACGUUGACCGGAGCGAAGAAGUUGCCAUAGGAGGCCAACAAGCCGGAACCAGUUUGAGAACUUGGCACUGCCUCGAAGUGUUUUGACUGUGGCUUUCCGAUAUUGAUCGGACACAGGCAUUGUUUGUAAUUUAUAUUGUGUAAAAUUGUCGAAUAUGUUUUUAUCAUCAAGCCAUUGUAAUCAUUUUGUUAAUAAACUUAAAGAAACAUU